CCCUAAACCCAGAUAUUUCAACACACAAAAAUAUCCGCCAGAGAACUACGAGCUAGACGCUUAAAACUCUAAGGACUUGGCGGUACCUCAAACCCUCCUAGAGGAGCCUGUUCUAUAAUCGAUAAUCCACGAUCUACCCGACCACCUCUUGCCAAUACCGCCUAUAUACCACCGUCACCAGCUUACCCUAUGAAGGACAUAAAAGUAAGCAAAAUAGCCAACAGCUAACAAGUCAGGUCAAGGUGUAGCUAACUGAGAUGGAAGAAAUGGGCUACAUUUUCUACACUAGAAAUUAAACCACGGAAAGGAACUAUGAAACAAGUCCCAUAAGCAGGAUUUAGCAGUAAACUGGGAUCAGAAUACCCAAUUUAAGCCGGUCCUGAGGUGCGC
rnacentral:rRNA from 1 species